rnacentral:rRNA from 1 species
CGUCUAUAUACGUAUAGCAUACAAUAAGCGGAGGAAAAGAAACUAACAAGGAUUCCCCUAGUAACGGCGAGUGAAGCGGGAAGAGCUCAAAUUUGAAAUCUUCAAGGUUCUACCUUGACGAAUUGUAGUUUAUAGAAGUGUUUUCUGUUAGUAGAGUGGCAAAAGUUCUUUGGAAUAGGACAUCAUAGAGGGUGAGAAUCCCGUAUUUGAUCCAUUAUUUCCUAGCUUUGUGAUACACUUUCAAAGAGUCGGAUUGUUUGGGAAUGCAGUCCAAAAUGGGUGGUAAAUUUCAUCUAAAGCUAAAUACUGGCGAGAGACCGAUAGCGAACAAGUACCGUGAGGGAAAGAUGAAAAGAACUUUGAAAAGAGAGUUAAACAGUACGUGAAAUUGUCAAAAGGGAAGCGUUUGACACCAGUGUUGUUUUUCCGAAAAUCAAUUAUGAAUGGCCUGAUUUUAAGUUUCAUGACCUUAAAAGCUUGUUGCUUAUUUUUCUUGUCUUUCUUAAUGCACUUUUCGGUUAACAAGUCAACAUCAAUUUCUUUUGUUGUAAAAGGUUAAGAGGAAGGUGGCUUUACUUUCGGGUAAAGUGUUUAUAGCCUUUUAACUCUGCAAUCGGAGAGAUUGAGGUCUGCAGCGUAGAUCCUUCGGGGCUAGAUACGUUUGUGCUAAGUUAUAGCUUUUCAUAGACAACUUGUUGACUAUGUUUAGUCUUGUAGCUUACUCGCAUGCGCUAUUUUACCUACGCUUAGGAUGUUGACACACGCGCGUGCUCG